CUAACGGCUGAACUGGCAACUUGGAGAAGUGGCAAGUCCUAUUUUGAUCAUAUCUUUGAAUAUGAUCUAUAGGAUUGUAUUAAAAUUGAAUAAAGCUUUGUUUAUAUAUUGAUAAUGACAGUAUAUAUAUCGUGUCUUGACUAAUUGCGUGCCAGCAGUCGCGGUAAUACGUAAGAGACUAGUGUUAUUCAUCUUAAUUAGGUUUAAAGGGUACCUAGACGGUCAAUAUAUCUUCUAUAAUGUUAGUACUUGACUAGAGUUUUAUAUAAGAGGGCAGUACUUGAGGAGGAGAGAUGAAAUUCUAUGAUACCAAAGGGACUCGGUAAAGGCGAAGGCAGCCCUCUAUGUAGAAACUGACGUUAAAGGACGAAGGCACAGAGCACAAACAGGAUUAGAUACCCAAGUAGUCUUUGCAGUAAAUGAUGAAUGCCAUAGGUUAGAUUAAGAUUUAAUAUUAUAAUUACAAAUUAUAAAUUAAACAUUAUUUGGUCUAUAAAUGAAAGUGUAAGCAUUUCACCUCAAGAGUAAUGUGG
rnacentral:rRNA from 1 species